GUUACUCAUGCUGCUCUUUUUAAAAGUGGAAUAAACACUACAGACAAAAUGCCUGGGACCCUGUGAACCAUGGAGGCAUAUGACCAACAAAAUCAUUCUUCUAGGUACAAUAAAAUGUAAUGGCUCAUGGAAUUAAGAGUGCUGUGGUACAGAGAAGCAGUGAAUCACUGGGAAGAAAGGGGAAGCUUUGUUUCAAAACAAGGGUAACAUCUAUUUUAAUCUACUUUCCAAAGCCAAGAAAAAACAUGAACAUUUGAAAAUGAUUCCCAGGGUGGAAAUAACUUUUUAAUGAUUUCUUUUUUUUUUUUUUUCAAAAUACAAGACUUGAAGUACCUGAAUUUUUUUUUAAGUAUAAAAGGCAGGAGAUCAACUGUUAAACGUGAACUUCUGUUUGAAGAAGACAGCUUUCAAAAAUCUAACACAUGAAUCAGAAUUUUUGGGAAGACCAAGUACUCUCAAGGUUCACCAUGAAUACUUCGAGAUUAAUAUUAAACUUCUUUUGGUGUCUAUGAAGUCUGUUGACAUGCCUGAGCAAUCAAAUUGUUAAAUGACAAAACAACAAAAGCCCACCUGCAUUUACACCUGCCUUCCUCGCUUCCCUCCUGAUGGAGAAGAAUGAGUUUCUGCUUCUUUUGAGGUCAGCAGCCUCAACAGGUUUAAAUUGCUGAGCUUUGGGUCUUCCUGCUGAGCCUCCUCCUAAAGACACAGUGGCUUGCGAGUGUUCUAGGACUUUCCGUACUUCGGCAGAGGUGCCUAUAGGCCAGGAGCUGUGACCCUACAGGGAGAUGAGCCCAGAGCUGAGGUCUCUACCUGGACUGGGCUAGGCACUCAUCAUGAACCUCAGAAGGAUCUCCAACCUGGGAAGUCUUUGCGUUGGUGACUUUGAAAACUUAAUUUACUCUGCAUGAUCAUCUCUCGCAGUUGGAUAAUGCAGUCACCCACAAAGAAAGCAAGCAAGAGGAAAGGAAAAAACACAAGAUUGCUACUUUCAUGGAAAUAUAAUGGCAACUCAUGCAUAUUUGCCAACUCUCUGGAAGACAUACUCGAAGUAUUUUGAUUAUAAAACAAGGCAGUAUUUUAAAUCACCUUAAGCAGAACUGACAAGAAAUCAAAGGACAUCUAAUAAAAGGUUUUCCUAAGUUGUACUUGCCCAAGAUAUUCAGAGUUUAAAUGGAAGGGGGAAAACAGUUAAAACACCCAUAUUCCUCCCUCCCCUGGGUGCAGAGAACAGAAGAGUGGAGAUAAGAAGAGCAUAGUCAAUGGCAAUCUGAGGAAGGGCUUUUGGACUUGGUGUCCCACCUUUGAAGCUGUUCGCUAAUUCUGUUCAGAGACAGAGGACAUGGCACCCGGAAAUCAGCUCAAGGCCUCUGUUACCGUUGUUAUUCAUGUUAAGCAGCAAAGACAUUAGACUUCAUUUACCUAAGCUCAUGUUAUCCACCUGCUGUAAUGUUCAUGGUCUGCUAAGAUUGCUGCAAGUAAACCCGAGUGUAAAAAUUGCCCACAGGUUCCUGUUUGACAAGUGGCAUGCUGGUUUCUCAUCACUCCCCAGAGGCCACUUAUAAUGAAAAAUAGGUCUUGUGAGCUUUGAAAUUUUUCCAUUCACAACCCUGUAUGUCUUUUAUUAUAUUGCCUUUUAAAAUUAGCAUGCUAUUUUAGAAAAUGAAGAAAACACACCAUGGGCAUCUGCUUUGCAGAAACUACUAAUCGGUCCCUGUCGCUUCACAUAGUCUUGUUAUUACCCAAAAUAGGAAAAUAUGCAAAUUCAUGACACAUGUAUUGAUUUUAAUUUAUCCAGAGGCUCUUCUGCAUAGCUAAGGAAUGAAUAUCUGCCUGUAGAUUUGAUUCCUGUAGAAUCCACAUGUUUGUGCUUGUGGACUCCUUACAUUAUGUCAGCACCAGAUCAUCAAAUAGAUUUUAUUGUUAGUAUUGACUAUACUUUGUGAAUAUCAAGAUUUAGAAUUUAUAAAAGUGAAACAUUCUAAUUUCAUUGUUGUGCCUCCUUUGUAAAGUCCUCUGUACUUCUGCAUUACUAUUUAUCACAGGAAGCUACAUUUGCAUGUUGAAUUAUCUGCCUUUUCCACUAGAUUUCAAACUGUUUGUCUUUCCUUGUCUGUCUCAUUCAUUGUUAGGUCCUCAGAAAAAAAUAGUGUAUGGUCCUCAGUAGGUGCAAUAAAUUAUUAUUAUUAUUACAAGUACUGUCAAGAGUGCCUUAACACAUUUUCUCAUGUAAUCUUCCCAAUAAUCAUAGGAGUUCGUUACUUUGAUCUUCAUAUUAGUGGUAAGGAAUCUAAACCUCAGAUAGGGUAAUCAGUAUGUUUAGAUCCUGCAACAGAACUACCUCAUUCAGAAAUGGGUCUAUGUGGAUACAAAGGAGGAAUAUCUUAUUUACAAUACCACUGCCUUGUGUAUCAGAAGGUAAAAUAUUUUACAAAUCACUCCAGAUGCAGAUGAACACUUGCAAUAAUGAGAGAUUUGUAAAUUUGUAGAUUUUGGGAAAGUGGGAUUGGAAGAAGAGGUGCAUCCUCUUCAAAAUUUGUGUAGAGAAGUUCCGUUCAUUGAUUAUAAAUGCUUCUUGCUCCUUACACAAAUAAACUAAAUAAGGCCUGUCACUGUUGCUGCCAUUGAAUUUGAUGUCAUACUUGGGUAGUGUUGUUAUAGAUAAGAAUGGCCUAAGCAUUUCUAUUUGAUUUAAUUGAUAUGACUGAGCACAUUGCAAUUUUGAGAUUGAUAUUGGGUAGGUUGGGAUUUGGGGCAGAACAGAGAACACAAGGUAGUAUAAUAUACCUGUUAUUGUCACAAACUGACAGUGCAGCAAGAAAUAAGAUAGGUAAAUACAUUACUAUAUAAUAAAGAGAACACAAUGUAGCUGAAGUUUUAUAAUCUGUAGAGGACCUACAAGGGCUAAGAAAUUAUAUCUGGUUGGUGAUGUUAGAUAUAAAUUAUGGAAGGGGUAGCCCUGGCAGGGUCCUUGAAAGAUGGGCAAGAUUUAACAGUUUUAUGUGCAGGAUGUUUGAAGGUAAAUAAAGAUGUUGUCUCUGCUCUUAAGAAUAGUAAGUCUCAUUAGUAGAGAAGAACAUUGAAUAUUGAUAGGUCAGAGAAGAGUAGACUAGAGAAAGCAAUUAAGAUAUAAUUAUGCAAGGUAACAUUAGAAAAGGA